CUGCCCUCUCGCCUAAAUAAAACUCUCCCCCACGCACUCCCCCACUCACCACACCACACACCCUCACCCCCCGCGGCCACCAGCUCGUCCGCAAAGACUGAGCUGAGGCCGAGAGCGCGAGCGAGCCAGAGGAUCCACUCCAUUGGCGAACGAGCCAGAGGAAGAAGCAGAGCUAGGGGGAGCGAGCUCGGAGGCAGGCGGGCAAGAUGAUCACGGGCACGGACUUCUACCACGUGAUGACGGCGGUGGUGCCGCUGUACGUGGCCAUGAUCCUCGCCUACGGCUCCGUCAAGUGGUGGGGCAUCUUCACGCCGGACCAGUGCUCCGGGAUCAACCGCUUCGUCGCGCUCUUCGCCGUCCCCCUCCUCUCCUUCCACUUCAUCUCCACCAACAACCCCUACACCAUGAACCUGCGCUUCAUCGCCGCCGACACGCUGCAGAAGCUCAUGAUGCUCGCCAUGCUCACCGCCUGGAGCCACCUCUCCCGCCGCGGCAGCCUCGAGUGGACCAUCACCCUCUUCUCCCUCUCCACGCUCCCCAACACGCUCGUCAUGGGCAUCCCGCUGCUCAAGGGCAUGUACGGCGACUUCUCCGGCAGCCUCAUGGUGCAGAUCGUCGUGCUCCAGUGCAUCAUCUGGUACACCCUCAUGCUCUUCAUGUUCGAGUACCGCGGCGCCCGCAUGCUCAUCACCGAGCAGUUCCCCGACACCGCCGGCGCCAUCGCCUCCAUCGUCGUCGACCCGGACGUCGUCUCGCUCGACGGCCGCAGCAACGCAAUCGAGACCGAGGCCGAGGUCAAGGAGGACGGCAAGAUUCACGUCACCGUCCGCCGCUCCAGCGCCUCCCGCUCCGACAUCUACUCCAGGCGCUCCAUGGGCUUCUCCAGCACCACGCCGCGCCCCAGCAACCUCACCAACGCCGAGAUCUACUCGCUGCAGUCGUCGCGGAACCCCACGCCCAGGGGCUCCAGCUUCAACCACACCGACUUCUACUCCAUGGUCGGCCGGAGCUCCAACUUCGGCGCCGCCGACGCGUACGGCAUCCGCACCGGCGCCACGCCGCGCCCGUCCAACUACGAGGAGGACGCGCCCAAGCCCAAGCAUCCGGCGCCCGGGGCGGGGCACUACCCCGCGCCGAACCCGGCGGUGGCCGCGGCGCCCAAGGGACCAAAGAAGCCGGCCACGAACGGACAGGCCAAGGGCGAGGACCUCCACAUGUUCGUCUGGAGCUCCAGCGCGUCGCCGGUGUCGGACGUCUUCGGCGGCGGCGCGCCGGACUACAACGACGCGGCGGCCGCCAAGUCCCCCCGCAAAAUGGAUGGAGCCAAGGAGAGGGAGGACUACAACGUGGAGCGAGACGACUUCAGCUUCGGGAACAGGGGCGCGCUGGACCGGGACACGGAGGCCGGCGACGAGAAGGCCAUGACGGCGGACCCGAACAAUGCGAUGAGCGCGGGGCAGACGGCGAUGCCGCCGACGAGCGUGAUGACGCGGCUGAUCCUGAUCAUGGUGUGGCGCAAGCUCAUCCGCAACCCCAACACCUACUCCAGCCUCAUCGGCCUCAUCUGGUCGCUCGUCUGCUUCAGGUGGAACUUCACGAUGCCGGCAAUCGUCCUGGGAUCCAUCUCCAUCCUGUCGGAUGCGGGGCUAGGAAUGGCCAUGUUCAGCCUCGGUCUGUUCAUGGCGCUGCAGCCGCGGAUCAUCGCGUGCGGGAACAAGGUGGCGACGUACGCCAUGGCGGUGCGGUUCCUCGCCGGGCCGGCCGUCAUGACCGCCGCCUCCUUCGCCGUGGGCCUCCGCGGCACGCUCCUGCACGUCGCCAUCGUCCAGGCCGCGCUGCCGCAGGGCAUUGUCCCCUUCGUCUUCGCCAAGGAGUACAGUGUGCACCCCGACAUCCUCAGCACAGCGGUCAUAUUCGGCAUGCUCAUCGCCCUGCCCAUCACGCUCGUCUACUACAUCCUGCUCGGCCUGUGAGCGAGCGCCACAUGUAAAGAUCCAUCGCUUCGCUACCGCAGGCUCAGGAGCGGCAGAGGAGGAGGAUGCGUGCUUGGAGCACGAGGGGGGCUCUUCAUUUUUCGUUCCCUCUCUCUAGAGCAGCAAGAUAAUGGUGGUGCUCCUAGCUAGGUAGGACAAUGGCGAGAGUCAACAACACUCAGAAGGGCUGGGGAAGAAGCAAGUGCAAGUACAAAGAAGCUUGGGCGGGGGACACGGGGUCCGGUUCAGGUCGCGGAAUGGUUGGGUUCUGAAAGGGGUUUGCGAGUUUUGGUUGGCUGCGCUGACCCCUGUAAAAUGCAUGCCAUUCUGAUAGUAACUGACCUUGAUUGUGUUGUUCAUUAAUUUCAUGGCGUUCCUGACCUGAGAUCAAAGAUGCUCCGGGCUUCAUUGCUCUGAUGA
rnacentral:rRNA from 1 species